rnacentral:rRNA from 1 species
UACGUAGGGUGCAAGCGUUAAUCGGAAUUACUGGGCGUAAAGCGUGCGCAGGCGGUUUGGUAAGACAGAUGUGAAAUCCCCGGGCUCAACCUGGGACCUGCAUUUGUGGCUGCAUCGCUAGAGUACGGCAGAGGGGGAUGGAAUUCCGCGUGUAGCAGUGAAAUGCGUAGAUAUGCGGAGGAACACCGAUGGCGAAGGCAAUCCCCUGGGCCUGUACUGACGCUCAUGCACGAAAGCGUGGGGAGCAAACAGG